UUUUUUUUAAGAGUUCCGGUGAAGACUGCAAGGUUUGCCGGCUUCACGCUGAACCGGGUCCAAUGGGACCGGUUGUCACAAAUAUCGAUUGGACCCGGUUCUCACAAAUAUCGUCGAGUGCUUAAUUUCCCUUACAUCCUAAUAUCUUUUUUAAAAUUAUGUUUUUUAAAAUUAUGUUUUUGCUUGGGCACCUUCGAACAAGCCAGGGUCAUCUUAUUGCACCCAUUCGAAUUAAAGCUUGCUGUCUUCACACUGAUUGGACCCGGUUCUCACAAAUAUCGUCGAGUGCUUAAUUUCCCUUCCAUCCUAAUGUCUUUUUUAAAAAUUAUGUUUUAACUUGGGCACCUUCGAACAAGUCAGGGUCAUCUUAUUGCCCCUGUUCGAGUUACAGGCCCACACGGCUGCCCUUGGCCGCAGGGCAGUGCGGUAUCAAACGGCAGAAAUGGCGCCCGGUCAACCUCCCGUUGACGAUCUUAUCACAUCUAAUGCAUAUAUAUGAUAAAGAUGCAUGGAACUUCAUCCAUAUUUGUCGUACCUAAGUAGGGAGAGAUCAUGCUUUAAGGAUCAUAUAUGAGAUUUGGUCCUCCAUAACGGGAAGGAGAAAGAUCGAUAUAAAUGACUGGGCAAAAAGGCUAACAGAUGAGUUGAGGAAUAUGCAAAUGAAUAUACAAAAAGGCUUAUGUCUCAAUAUCAAGUUUUAUUGCCCGAUAUGGAAUAAAUCGAUACAGUAUAACUACCUGCUCAUCUAAACACAGGCAUCUUCAGUCAAACAACAUCGUACAUGAGCCAUCAUAAAACCAUGGCCAUUACACAGAACGCCACCACCUGACUACGACAAUCAAGGAGAAUGGAAACAAGUAAAAGGAGAUGCACUGAUACUCAGAUCGCUUUCUCGAGCAAUCAUGUUAUAUUUUGAGUUAUCGUACAGUAAAGACAAUCCUCAAAAAAAAAAACGUAG